rnacentral:lncRNA from 1 species
UAAAUUAAACUUUUUUAGUUGACUUUCUUGAUUCUCAGUAAAUAUUAACGAUUGACCCCUACAGGGAUUUUGGGAGUAGUUAAAUCAUAGCAACACGACGGAGAUUCUAUCUUUCCAGUAUUCAGGGGUUGAAUUGAAAGUUCUUCAUCUAAAUGACUUGAAGGCUAACCCUGGACUAUGCCCCCCCCCCAUCUCAGCAGGGGCUUUAGUGCCCGCUUCCGGGAUCCAUCCUCUCUAAGCUAUCCAUAGCAACAAGGAACAUGCUGAAGAUGAACUUGAUGGCUUCUUCGGAAUCAGUGCUUAUGUCAGACCCAGAGGCCCAGCUGAAGGGCUGGUGGGUCCCCUUUGUGCAGAGUGAAUGCCAUUUGAUUGCUGAGGCAGCUCAGCUGUCGGAGCAAAUCACUCUCAUUUGUCUGACAGCCUCUCCAGGGCCUGGCACUUCCUCGGUAUCGGCCCCUCUUCUGACCAGGAUGUGAGAGGGUCAGAUUUCCCUCCCUCUCCUUCCUUACACGCCCGAGGACACGCGCUGGCACACUAAUGCCGUGACAGACAGAAAUAAAAUCUGCUUUAAAACACCUUCGAAUGGAUCGCAGCCAAGAUACAAGCCCUACAGAUGUGUCAGACAACUGACUGUUUUGAUGACACCUCCAAACUUGCACCAACGGGCCUUCAUCAGUAAACUACAACAUCAGAAACCCAUGGGAGGCCUCAUGAUGCUUCCGAAAGCUGAGCAUUAGAACUGAUGUUAGAAUUACAAGCUGCUUUUAUUGUGACUAUGACUCUAAGUUAUGUAUCAUCCUUUUUUGAUGAAGGCCAGAAGCUUAUUGAUGGGACUUGGACAUACAGAAGCAGUGGUCUAAGCACAGGGCUGGCCAUCUCCCCCCAUCUUCCCUACCCAUCCCCACCACAAGCCAGAGGGCUCAAAGGAGCAUAAGUCGCCUACUUGGAACAAGAGUGCGCCCCAGGUUAGAGCAACAGCUAAAGCGUCUCUCCUUUGCUUUCUUCCAGAUUGUAUUUCCAUAGCAGGACAAGGGUGGCUUGAACUGUGUCUUAGCCAGGGUUUUACUGCUGUGAACAGACACCAGGACCAAGGCAACUGAGAUAAGGACAACAUUUAAUUGGGGCUGCCUUACAGGUUCAGAGGUUUGGUCCACUAUCAUCAAGGCAGGAAUAUGGCCGCGUCCAGGCAGACGGGUACAGGAGGAGCUGAGAGUUCUACAUCUUCAUCUGAAGGUUGCUGGCAGAAUACUCCCUUCCAGGUAGCUAGGAUGAGGAUCUUAUAGCCCACAUCCAAAGUGGCACAUCUACUCCAACAAGGCCACACCUCCUAAUAGUGCCACUCCCUGGGCCAAGCAUAUACAAACCACCACAAUCUCUAAGAGAGCCCAAGCAAUGGGAUUCUAUGAAGGCAGGGGAGAUCAUAAUGUAUUUGAGUGUGGAUGGGCCAGACAUAGCCAUUUAAUCCAGGACUUCAGGGGCUAUGAGAGCCAUUGGGAGCUUCAGUAGCCAGUCCUGGGCUUCCAAAAAUGAGUCACUUUCUACUGACCUCUGACAGAUAGACCCAGAAAGUCUAUUCUUUUCACCGCUAUGUGGGUAACACGAAACUCAGUGUCAUCUUUCAAACAACUUGAAAAUUUCAUAACUGGCCCCGGGCAGGAGUCAGUGGCAGGAGCAGGAGGAUCUAUGAGAGGUGGUUCUGAAUCCCUGGCUUCGUCUUUUUCCAGCAGAGUGACUCUAGGCCAUGCAAACCUGUGGUUUUUCCAGGUGACUGUGAGACUACCUAUACUGGGCUAUUUUCUUCUUUUCUAUUGAGCUAGAGUGGGAAGCGUGGAGUCUACUCCUAUGUGUCUUUGAAGAGGAGGUAAGGAUAAGGAGGAGCCUGGCAGGUGGUUUUUGACAGCAAAUGGCACCCUUUCCUUGAAUGGCACCAGGCACCCAAUUCAUGGGUUUGCCAGGUUUGAUGGAAGGAUAUGCAAAUCUGACUCAAUUCACAGUCUUACUUAACAGUUCAGUUGUAAUUGCAUCUAAUUGAGGCUUAUUCAUAAAUGUCAUUGAUGUAAAAAAAACUGUUAAUGUAGAGGAGUCCACCUCCAAGAAGGAUGAUUACUUCACAGCGGAAACCCCCCUGAAGAACAUCACUGUUGCUAAGACAACGGAGAGCGAAGCCGGUUGCCCACGGUUACCCAUGUACCAAAUGUCAUUGGUGGAUGAGUGUUAGCUUUGAAUGGGCCUCAGGAGCACAAUGAGGAAGGGCAAUGGGAACUGCCUAAGUGAGUGUGAAGAGACAUGUCCUUGUACCCUCCCCCCACCUCAGGCAUUUCAGAGGC